AUGCUCACCUCUGUGGCAUAUAUACCAAAACUCAAACAAUACAUAUAUUAUCAUGGCCUCUGUGUAAGUAUGACACACAAAUUUAUAAAGUGUUAAAAGUUACG
ensembl:snRNA U6 U6 spliceosomal RNA